AGUUUGGCUGAGACAGCCCUUCUUGGAUCCACCAGACAUCUGGGGAGGCAUUCAACUGGGACCUGCAGGAUUCGCUUUCAAUGUGGCUCACCCACAUGGCCAGGAGUGCAGACCAGGACCAGCUGUUUCUCUCCACAUGGGUUUCUUCAAGGACUUCUUGGGCUUCUUCAGAGCAUGCCAGCUGGAUUUCGUGAUAUCAAGAGGAGUGUAGCACACACAUGUUACAGCUGAAAAUGAUGCGCUGUGAUGUCAAGCACUUUCCCAAGGAGAUGCAGCUAAUAGUUGCCAGAGCCAUAAUGAUAUUA
rnacentral:lncRNA from 1 species